rnacentral:lncRNA from 1 species
CAGGGCCUGCAGGAGAAAUCAGCAGUGCCUGGCUCAGGCAGCACGCACCUCCCGGCACACUGCACUCACUUAAUGGCUACCACACAGGUGUGUGUUUCUGGGUUCAGGAUUCUCUCUGUCUUUUUUUCCUCCCGGUCUUUUUUUAGGUAUUCUGCAUGUAUAUUCAGCAAACUAGAUCUUGUGGAAAGAAACCUCAUCCUCUGGCAAAACAUUUAGAAGAGAAAAGAG